rnacentral:rRNA from 1 species
AUGCAAGUCGAACGGGAAAUAUUUUAUUGAAACUUCGGUAGAUUUAAUUUAUUUCUAGUGGCGGACGGGUGAGUAACGCGUGGGUAACCUGCCUUAUACUGGGGGAUAACAGCCAGAAAUGGCUGCUAAUACCGCAUAAGCGCACAGGGCCGCAUGGUCCGGUGUGAAAAACUCCGGUGGUAUAAGAUGGACCCGCGUUGGAUUAGCUAGUUGGCAGGGCAGCGGCCUACCAAGGCGACGAUCCAUAGCCGGCCUGAGAGGGUGAACGGCCACAUUGGGACUGAGACACGGCCCAGACUUCUACGGGAGGCAGCAGUGGGGAAUAUUGCACAAUGGGGGAAACCCUGAUGCAGCGACGCCGCGUGAAGGAAGAAGUAUCUCGGUAUGUAAACUUCUAUCAGCAGGGAAGAUAAUGACGGUACCUGACUAAGAAGCCCCGGCUAACUACGUGCCAGCAGCCGCGGUAAUACGUAGGGGGCAAGCGUUAUCCGGAUUUACUGGGUGUAAAGGGAGCGUAGACGGCGCAGCAAGUCUGAUGUGAAAGGCAGGGGCUUAACCCCUGGACUGCAUUGGAAACUGUUGAGCUUGAGUGCCGGAGGGGUAAGCGGAAUUCCUAGUGUAGCGGUGAAAUGCGUAGAUAUUAGGAGGAACACCAGUGGCGAAGGCGGCUUACUGGACGGUAACUGACGUUGA